GCGACUGCGGAGGACAUUAUCGAGUUUAUUGAAACAGGUUGUCGCUGGCCUUUUUUAUUAAUACAAAAAGGCAUGUGCACGCUUGGCUCAUCCAUUCUCAACCUCUGUGCACUUUUUGUAGAAAUGGUCAGACGGCUGGCGCAAGUCAGUCAGAAAACCUUUCUAUGUUUUUAUUACAAACGCUUCAGUUAUAGAAUGUUGACUUGCACAAAUAAUGCAUUUAUAUACAACUUUCAGCAACGGAUCUCUUGGCUCUCGCAUCGAUGAAGAACGCAGCGAAAUGCGAUAAGUAAUGUGAAUUGCAGAAUUCAGUGAAUCAUCGAAUCUUUGAACGCACCUUGCGCUCCUUGGUAUUCCGAGGAGCAUGCCUGUUUGAGUAUCAUGGAAUUCUCAACUCCUCAAUUUUUUUUAAUUAAAAAAUGAGUGAGCUUGGAUUUGGAGGCUGUGUUGGCUUUUGUAAUAAUAAAAAUCAACUCCUCUGAAAUAGAUUAGCGUGAAUCUUACGGAUCGCCUUCAGUGUGAUAAUUGUCUACGCUGUGGCUGUGAAGUGAUUUAUAUGUUCAUGCUUACAAUCGUCUCUUUAAGAGACAAUUAAAUUUUAUGACUUCUGAUCUCAAAUCAGGUAGGACUACCCGCUGAACUUAAGCAUAUCAUAGCCGGGAAAGGAAAGCAGU
rnacentral:rRNA from 1 species